rnacentral:rRNA from 1 species
UAGGGAAUAUUGGGCAAUGGAUGCAAGUCUGACCCAGCCAUGCCGCGUGCCGGAAGAAGGCCCUCAGGGUUGUAAACGGCUUUUAUUCGGGAAGAAGAGCAGGGAUGCGUCCUUGUGUGACGGUACCGAAUGAAUAAGCACCGGCUAACUCCGUGCCAGCAGCCGCGGUAAUACGGAGGGGGCGAGCGUUGUCCGGAGUUAUUGGGUUUAAAGGGUGCGUAGGUGGCUUUAUAAGUCAGUGGUGAAAUACAGCCGCUCAACGGUUGUGGUUCCAUUGAUACUGUAGAGCUUGAACCAGUUGGAGGCUGCCGGAAUGGAUGGUGUAGCGGUGAAAUGCAUAGAUAUCAUGCAGAACACCGAUUGCGAAGGCAGGUGGCUACGUUUGAUUUGACACUGAGGCACGAAAGCAUGGGGAGCAAACA